CCCAGGGGAACCCUGAUAACAAGUUCUGAAUAUUUUAGGAAAAUGACAGGGCACAUUAGAAGGUGGCCAGCGAUGUGUGAAAAAGACAACCCCGAGCCAAGAACACAGAUGGGGGAGAAGCCGAUGAGUUUUAGCAGAUGUGCUGCUGAAGUGAGCACCUGAGGCUGGCUUGCGUGGGGACCCUCUCGCUGCUGCGGAAGGAGCCAGGCUCUGGAGCAGGGGAGCUGGCGGGUGCGCGUGGGAAUCCAGUGACAGAGGACGGUGUUUCCAGCUGCAAUGGUGAGUAGCUGGGAAAUGGUAACAAUCCAUGAGGUUCUGGAUCUUCCAAAGGCAGAGACAACGGGAUUUCCUGAUGGGUUGGGUGUUGCAAGUGCUGUUUGUUCUGUUCAAAAUUAGGACGUCCUAGACGGGAAACGGGAACUGAAAGGGCAGCCAGUUACCGCCCACGGACGCAGAAAAAGGAAGAGCUGUUUUCUGCUUUUAGUGGCAGGAGAAACCUGAUGUGGUGCAGAUUUUGUGAAACGAAGGAAGGUCUCCAACUUCCAGGCCCGAAGUCCCUAGACUCACGUAGAGCCGAGGGGUGGAGCCACUGUUUCCCUGAGAGAGAGUACCACUAGCCCAAGAACCAGAUAGAGACUAUGUCCACAGCAAGCCACUCAGGACAAAGGGAAUAAAGAGACAGACGUCCAAAAACCAGUACAUAGUGAUGACCAAAUAAAUGUGUGGCUACACACUGUUUUAGGAAUUUAUACUGUGUUACUGCACUGCUGUUCUAUUUUGCUUUUCUCUCCCUAUCUGUUGCUCUCUAUUUUUCUGUCUCUCUAUUCCUCUCUCUCCAUUUCUCCCUUUCUAUUCCCUCUUGCUAUCUCUCUCUGUAUGUAUCUGUCUCUCUCCAUUUCUCUGUCUCUUUAUAUAUCUCUCUAUAUUUCUUCCUAUCUAUUCUCUCCCCUCCAGCUUUCUCUCUUUCCCUCUGUGUGUGUGUGUAUCUGCUUGUCUGUCUCUGUUUCUUUCUCUUUCUAUACAUAUAUUUCUUUCGCUCUCUUAAUUGUUAAAGCACUUCUUUGAAGGCUGUCUAACAUUAUCUUGGCUCAGUAAAAGAGACAGGAGAGUUUCCACACCACAGUAGGUAUUGGUGGGAGGAUCAGAGCUCCUGGAUUCUCUGUCCGGCCAUGGCAGCGCCAGGUUUGCGGGGUGCCAUAUACCCCCAGGAGUUACUGAAAUGGCAAUGAAGUUGGAAAGUGAAAAACCAACAAGGAAAAUUUGAAGACAACCAAAGUGGACAACCCCCACAACCAAGGUGGACAACCCCCCCACAACCAAGGUGGACAACCCCCUCCAACCAAGGUGGACAACCCUCCCCAACCAAGGUGGACAACCCCCCCCCAACAUUUUUUUUAGGGCUUUUGAUUACCAGAGGCCUUAUUUUAUAUGGCAAUUAAGAAGACUUGAAAAGUACCUCAUCAAGGUCAGGCGCGGUGGCUCACGCCUGUAAUCCCAGCACUUUGGGAGGCCGAGGCGGGUGGAUCACGAGGUCAAGAGACCGAGACCAUCCUGGCUAACACGGUGAAACUCCGUCUCUAUUAAAAAAUACAAAAAAUUAGCCAGGCGUGGUGGCGGGUGCCUG
rnacentral:lncRNA from 1 species